rnacentral:tRNA from 2 species
CGAAAGAUAAGCUAAUUCUAAGCUAAUAGGUUCAUACCCUGUAAAUGAAAGUCUACUCUUUUCUCUUUCUA